rnacentral:lncRNA from 1 species
GGCUGUGUAUGUGGGUCUCUCAUGGCUGCCUCGGGGAAGCUCGGCACUUUCCGCCUUCCCCCGUUGCCCACCAUUCGGGAGAUCAUUAAGUUGUUCGGACUGCGAGCGGUGAAACAGCUUUCCCAGAAUUUCCUCCUGGACUUGAGGCUGACAGGUGGCUGAGUCGUCAGUUCGCCCGGGUCUCCGUGACAAGAUUGUAAGGAAAGCUGGCAGUCUAGCAGAUGUUUAUGUUUAUGAAGUGGGUCCUGGGCCCGGGGGAAUCACAAGAUCCAUCCUGAAUGCCAACGUUGCUGAGCUUCUGGUGGUUGAAAAGGACACUCGCUUUAUCCCAGGGUUACAGACAGGGUUUCUCUGCAUUGCCCCGGCUGUCUUGGAACUCAGUCUGUAGACCAGGCUGGCCUCAAACUCAGCAAUCCGCCUGCCUCUGCCUCCUGAGUGCUGGGAUUAGAGGCGUGCGCCACCACGCCCGGCUUUAUUGAAUGUCUGUGAACAUCACAUUAUCGUCCCCAUGUCUUGAGCAGCUGUGGGGGUUACGAGUUGAUCCAGAGACUAAAACCAGCGGACUGUCUUCUGCUAAUGUUGAACUGUACGCCCAGCGGACUGUCUUCUGCUAAUGUUGAACUGUACCGCCCAGGUUGUGCAUUCCCUGCCAUGCGUUGUGUCCUUUCCUUUGCUUGCUUUCUUGUGACUGAGGGAAUUCUCUAUGCCCUGGAGUAAAGAGAUUUUAUAAUGGGUGUCUCAGGAAACUUGAAACCUCAAUAGAUUUUCUCCCAUUGGUGAACUGGAAAUAAGAUGAGAAAUGUCUCUUCUGGCAAGGAGUCUAGAUUCUUCUUCAGUUUUUGUUCCAUACAUUAGUAAUUAUGAUGAUAGCUAGUAUUUCUGAAGCAUUCACCAGUAAGUUCUUUGCUUUCCAGUUUCCUUGACAUUGAAUUGAGACUUAAAGGAGAUACUCAAGUUACUGAUCUUGCCACUGUUCUCACACUGACUAUGGUAACUAGCAUCAUUGUGAGAACUUGUUCCUUGCAAGGCCUUGUUUCCCUCUCCCUUUGCCUGUCCCUGACACCUGAUUAGCUUCCCUGUAAGGAAGAUUUUUAUCCUCUUAUUUAGCAUUAUAUAUGGCUAUAGUAAUUUUGUAUGUACUUUUUAGUUAAUGUUGUAUGUGUCUUUUUCUCAUAAUGAUUUUUACACAUGUGUUUAUCAGCAGCUUUCUCUGUUUGUUGCUAUAAUAUUCCACUGUGAAUAUCUCUGUUUUGUAAAUAUUAACCUUUUGAUGGACUUUCUUAACAUUUGCAUAGGAAGCUAUUUGCAUAUUAUCAUGCAACUGUUUUGUAAAUGGAUGCCUUUAUUUUUCUACACUAAAGACCUUUGUUCUGCUUAUGGGGUUUUGUCCUAGGUCUCCUUCUCCAGCCCAGGAAGUGUUUUCUGUCCUAGUUUGCUAAGGGAUGCUCUUUUCUUUUCUUUUCUUUUCUUUUCUUUUCUUUUCUUUUUUUUCCUUCCCUCUUCUUUUUUUUUUUUUCCUUUCUUUUUCUUUUGCAAUCAAUGAGCAUUGGACUUGGGGGAAGGGGAGGGGAGAAGCUUUUCCUGGGGUUAUUGAAAUGUUUUUCUUUUUAAUGUGUUAAUAUGGUGAAUUGUAAUUUUUUUAAUGUUAGCCUAACUGUACUGGCUAGUUUUGUGUGUCAACUUGACACAGCUGGAGUUAUCACAGAGAAAGGAGCUUCAGUUGAGGCAAUGCCUCCAUGAGAUCCUACUGUAAGGCAUUUUCUCAAUUAGUGAUCAAGGCAGAGGUCCCCUUGUGGGUGGUGCCAUCUCUGGGCUGGUAGUCUUGGGUUCUAUAAGAGAGCAGGCUGAGCAAGCCAGGGGAAGCAAGCCAGUAAUGAACAUCCCUCCAUGGCCUCUGCAUCAGCUCCUGCUUCCUGACCUGCUUGAGUUCCAGUCCCGACUUCCUUUAAUGAUCAACAGCAAUGUGGAAGUGUAAGCUGAAUAAACCCUUUCUUCUCCAACUGCUUCUUGGUCAUGAUGUUUGUGCAGGAAUAGAAACCCUGACUAAGACAGCCAACCAUAUAUAAAAUCUAUAGUAAUGCCACAUCUCCUUUCUAUGAUACAGGUCAUUUAUGUAUCCCUAUUCAUUUUUCUAAUUGACCUGCUUACAGAUUAGCUGACUUUAUUGAUCUCUGAAAUACAGCUAUACUCUCAUUGCCUUCUCUGUUUUCGGGGGUGUUGACUUGUGCUUUGGCAUCGCCUUUUACCCUGGGUUCAUUUGUUGUUUUCUCUGUAGCUACUGUAAGGCAGGCACUGAGGUGUUGACUUGAAGCUUUUUCUGCUCUCAUAGAUUAAUGCUAUAAAUUUCUUCUUUGUCAGAAAACCACAAAUUCUGAUGUGUCAUGUUUUUUCCUUAAUUCUAUUAAAAGUAAUUUUUAUU